AUUAUUAUCCAUUGUUUUACCCUGUUGAGCCUGUUAACCAUUUAUUUUUGAUAUACCCAUUUUUUUUUCUAAAGCCAUGACCUUGUACCUAUCCUACCCUGUUCAGAGUAUGUGAGAAUUGAUUUCAUCUCUAUGUUUCUAUCUAAGUUUGGGGUUGCUGUUGGAAUAGCAACCUUUAAGUUUGGGGUAGCUUUGCAGUACAUGAAUAGUAAGUGAAUGUCGAAAAAAAAAAAAACAACAACAUGAGAAGAAAGAAAGAGAAAAGCGAAAAACAAUAAAAGAACAGCUUUUGAAAGAUGCUACAUUCACUAUAGAUAAAAGGAAAAGAUGAUUGCAUAACCCUAUAGGAAUAAUAGAAAAGAAACGUAGUGAGAGAAUGAUUUCAUGUACUCUGAACCAAAAACCUUUGUCCAAAUUUCAUAGCCUAUCUAAACCAAAACCCCGUUACAACCCAAAAAGAAAAAAAAAAACAACCCUUGUUCCAAUUUCAUACCCUACCUAAACCAAAACCCCGUUACAACCCUAAAAGACCUCAAAUAGUGUGUGUGAUUGUACAUGUUGAUAGGAUGAGAGAAUUUAUUCAAACUUCUGAUUUGAUAUUGCAUAUUGUGA
rnacentral:lncRNA from 1 species